UACGUAGGGGGCAAGCGUUGUCCGGAUUUAUUGGGCGUAAAGAGCGUGUAGGCGGUCAGGUAGGUCCGUUGUGAAAACUCGAGGCUCAACCUCGAGACGCCGAUGGAAACCAUCUGACUAGAGUCCGGAAGAGGAGGAGUGGAAUUCCUGGUGUAGCGGUGAAAUGCGCAGAUAUCAGGAAGAACACCCGUGGCUAAGGCGGCUCUCUAGUACGGUACUGACGCUGAGACGCGAAAGCGUGGGGAGCGAACAGG
rnacentral:rRNA from 1 species